rnacentral:rRNA from 1 species
AAAGUGGAGCAAUCCAUGAGUACAGUGGCGUACGGGUGAGUAACACGUGGGUGAUCUACCUCUUAGUGGGGAAUAACCCUGGGAAACCGGGGCUAAUACCGCAUAAGCUCGAGAGAGGAAAGCAGCAAUGCGCUGAGAGAGGAGCCCGCGGCCGAUUAGCUAGUUGGUAGGGUAAGAGCCUACCAAGGCUGAGAUCGGUAGCCGGCCUGAGAGGGCACACGGCCACACUGGCACUGAAACACGGGCCAGACUCCUACGGGAGGCAGCAGUGGGGAAUCUUGCACAAUGGGGGAAACCCUGAUGCAGCGACGCCGCGUGAGCGAUGAAGCCCUUCGGGGUGUAAAGCUCUUUCGGCAGGGAAGAUUAUGACGGUACCUGCAGAAGCAGCUGCGGCUAACUACGUGCCAGCAGCCGCGGUAAUACGUAGGCAGCGAGCGUUGUUCGGAGUUACUGGGCGUAAAGGGUGUGUAGGCGGUUCUUUAAGUUUGGUGUGAAAUCUCCCGGCUCAACCGGGAGGGUGCGCCGAAUACUGAGGGACUAGAGUGCGGGAGAGGAAAGUGGAAUUCCUGGUGUAGCGGUGAAAUGCGUAGAUAUCAGGAGGAACACCGGUGGUGUAGACGGCUUUCUGGACCGUAACUGACGCUGAGACACGAAAGCGUGGGUAGCAAACAGGAUUAGAUACCCUGGUAGUCCACGCCCUAAACGAUGCAUAUUUGGUGUGGGUCAUUCAGUUGAUCCGUGCCGGAGCUAACGCGUUAAAUAUGCCGCCUGGGGAGUACAGUCGCAAGGCUGAAACUC